GUAAUGUGAAUUGCAGAAUUCAGUGAAUCAUCGAAUCUUUGAACGCACCUUGCGCCCUUUGGCUAUUCCGAAGGGCAUGCCUGUUUGAGUAUCAUGAACACCUCAACUCCUCAUGGCUUGCCAUGAGUGGGCUUGGACUGUGGGGGUUUUGCUGGCCAAUGGGUCAGCUCCUCUCAAAUGAAUCAGCUUGCCAGUGUUUGGUGGCGUCACAGGUGUGAUAACUAUUUACGCUUGUGGUUUUCCACCAGGUUACCUCUGGUAACGGAGGUUCACUGGGGCUCACAAAUGUCUCUCCCCAGCGAGGACAGCUCUUUGAAUGUUUGAUCUCAAAUCAGGUAGGACUACCCGCUGAACUUAAGCAUAUCAAUAAGCGGAGGAAAAGAAACUAACAAGGAUUCCCCUAGUAACUGCGAGUGAAGCGGGAUGAGCUCAAAUUUAAAAUCUGACGUGCCUCUGGUCGUCCGAGUUG
rnacentral:misc_RNA from 1 species